rnacentral:lncRNA from 1 species
UAGAUUUCACGGGACAAGGACGCAAGAUCGUACCCGUGGCAGCGAAAGGUGUGCAAUACUUAGAUAAGCAAUGGUGCGUUGUGAACAAAGACACGAUCAAUCUAGAUGAAGUUGGUCCGGACCUAGACUAUGCGUGUUACCAUGGUGACUGCACCGCGAUGCUUUACGGGUCCACAUGUAGUAACCUCGACAAAAUCCAAAACAUAUCAUACGCAUUUAACAUGUUUUUCCAGAUUCAGGGCCAAGACGUUAGGGCUUGUGAUUUCAGAGGAUCUGCUAUGAUUACUAAGAACAAUGCAUCCGUCGGAAGUUGCUUGUUCCCUAUUCAGAUCGUCAGUGGAAGUGGUGAUUUCAGGAUCAGCUAUGUGUUCGGAAGAUUCAUUGUCGCUGGACUUAUUCUUCUUGGAUUAGUCACAGCUAUAUAAUUUGUUUGCUUGUUUUUUCACAGUUUUGGGAUACUUACUAUAUUCGGUUAAUUGUUAUAUGUUUGUUUGAUAACAUUUGAGUUAGUACUCCUAUAUGUUUAAUAGAUUGACAUAAUCAAAUCAUAUCUCGUUUAUUGUUAUUUUUCGUUUGAGUUUUUUUAAUAGUUUUUUUCGUUUGAAGGUAGUAUGAAUCAGAUAAAAGUUCUAAUUAAAGUUAGUAUGAAUCGUAGUACAAAAUUAGAAAUAAUACAAAAAUUAACAGAAAAGCUAGGUUGGAUUCUUUGUUUGAGAUGGGGUAUCGAUUCCAUAUAGGACUUCUCUUGAAAAAAUCCAAGGUUGGAUCAUCGUAUAUCUUGGAUUGUAAACACUUAACAUGUGUUACUGAAAAAAAAACAAAUAUAACCAUUUGAUAUAUUAGGUUUAAUAGCUGGUUGUGGCUAAUCUGAUAACCAUAUGUUUCAACAUUUGUUAAUAAGAAUUCUAGUAUUAAAAUAAUUAUUGGUUUCAUAAGAAUCGAUAUUUUAUAUAUUUAUUGACAAUUAUGAUGUGUUUUCUAAUGCACUUCUAUAUGAUAUUUUAUUUUUGAUUAGCAUCGCAUAGUAUAUACACAAAUAAGAAAGUAAAUUACAAAAACAUUUAAUAAUUUAUUUUGUGUAGAAAUUUUCAAAUCUAUUAUAAAACCGACGAAAAAAUCAUAGAUUGUAAGCGCUAACUUUAAAACAAAUGUUUCGGUUUAAUAAAAAUCAAACUUUGGAACUUUCUUCCAAAUUAGAUUUCAAGGAAUAUAAGUAUCACUGUUAUAUAAUAAAAUAUAGUACUUUUUAGCAUAAAGAAAGAUGCACUUAUUUUUUCUAAUAGGGUCGGCGUUCAUGAAUAUACACCUCUAUCACUUUCACUCUUUUUUUUUGCCGGCCUCCAUCGCUUUCAAAAUUAAAAGCAAUACAAAAAAAAUUAACAUAUGUAAUUUCAUUUGAACCUCACACUGGCACAUUCCUUCACUCUUGACCAGCCGCCCGCCUGUUUCAGUCCUUCCUUGACAAUAUAGGAUUUUUUUUCCUCUGCUUAAACUUACACAUGACUCAUAGUUUCUAAAGACCAUCCUAUUUCAGUUAAAGAAAACCCUACAUAUUACUAGAUGAUUUCAAUAUUCUUAACCAUUUGCAUGUAAUCUUUAUACGAUAUUACAUCACAUGAAUUUAUAACAAAGCCAUAUCACAUAAUAAAAAGCCACAUCACAUGUUUUCUGUUAAUAUUUAUGUUUUAACACAAUAAAAGCAACUACUAUAUUGUGGUUAAAAACAAUUAAUAGUGGCACCAGGAAAUUUCACCUUACCUUCAAGACAAGAUUAAAGACCAAUUUGAAUCGUUGACUUAGGAAAUUUUGGUCACUGUGGGUCAGUGAGUGUAAUAAUAUAUCCUCGAUACCUUGCUUAGCUAUGAGCCAUAACUUUUGUAAGGAAACACAACGAAUCAUAAGAAAACAGAUGUAAUCUUUUGUCAACCAUGUCCAUAAGAAACACGUUUCCUAUCAAAAAUGGACAGGAACUGUUUGAUUUUUAAGUUUUUAAUUUUUUUGAAACAUAUUGAUGUAUUUAAUUAUGGUACAAUCAGUCUAUAGGUAACCAUUCUUUUACAUUUGCAUAAAUAGAUUGGACCGGAUAGCCAAAAUUUUUGCUUAAAAAAAUUUUUAAACCAAAGUUAGGCCAGACACUCAAACUUAAGCUUUAUCACAGUAUCUCUAAAAAACAUAGUUACAUUUUCAGAAUCCACGUUACCGAACACUAACUAUGACGUCCGUGGACCUUAUGCUCGUACGGGGACCUCAAGCUCUAUAUCCAAAACUCAUUACUUAAACCGAAGCUUACUUUUCACCACCAUGGAUAGUCUCUCCAUACGUCAUUAGAAUGACGUCAUCUUCCUCUUCUUUCACACGUGGUGCUGAAGCACCUUUCUAGUAACCACGCUGAAAUUGCUUGUAAAUGUUUAUUAAUCUUAUCUCUUAAUUAUCUUUCCUUACAACAUAAAAAUAAAAACUUUCGUAAUAUAUUUGUAAGUUUAUCAGUGAAAGAUGCUGAGACGAAGGACCCGCCGAGUCAUCGAGUUGCAUUUAGUACGAGAUCAAAGAUUGAUGUGAUGGAUGAUGGUUAUAAAUGGAGGAAGUAUGGGAAGAAAUCUGUCAAGAACAACAUUAACAAGAGGUAAUUAAUUAAUAAAAUAGUUUAAUUGCUCAUUUCAUCUCAUUAAGUUGUUGAUUUAUAAUAUUUUAUUUAGUUGUUUUUAGAAAUUAACAUGUGGUUGAUUGAACAUUUUCUAUCAUCAUCUUAUAAAUCUAGUGUUAUAGAAUGAUGACUAAUUAAUUAGAUCACAUAGUGUGUGAUUUGAAUACUGUUUAAUGGUCUUUUAUUCAGGUCCGUCUCAAGUAUUGUAUGGGCCCUGCUUAUAUUAUCUACCAACCCACUUCACUUGUAUCAAACUACAUAUCACACAUAUGCAUAUAUAUUUUUGUAUGUUUUUGUUUUUAUACAGACAUACCUUUGUAACUGAUUAGUGAUAAACUGACUAAAAUCCAUGGGUCAUUCAUCAUCUAGAUCUUAUUUUGGCUCAUGUAUCAUAGAUAAAAGCACAAAAAACAAAUCGCCCACAUGUGUAUAUUCAAUACAUAUAUGGAGAUCAGUCUGGAUUUUUUUUAUUUAUAAAAGUAACUAAGCUAAUUAAGGGUGAAUGAAUGGUGUGAAUAUGUAUAUAGGAAUUAUUACAAAUGCUCAAGUGAAGGUUGCAUGGUGAAGAAUAUGUAUAUAGGAAUUAUUACAAACUAGAUAAGGCCCGUGCGUUGCAACGGGUUUUGUUUGAUGUUUUAAUAAAAACAUAAAAAUAAUAAAUCAUUUUAUUAUAGAUUGAGGAUUUUUUUUUUUGUUUGCAUAAGCUGUGAGAUAUUUAUUUAUAAUUACAAACUCAUUUACACACAUAAAUCCCUAUUAGUAUUUGUAUUUAUAAUCAUGGUGCAUAGGUAAAUUGUUAUCAACUUUGUAUUUAAGGUUAGAGAAAACACUCAUACCUAAAAAUUUAAACCAAACUCAACCAAAGUAAAAAUUAAAAUGAAAAAAUUGAAAGCUAAAUAAGGUCAAUCUAGUUAGUGACAAUAUUAUACGGGAAAUUACCAAAAAUACCACAUUCUUAAUACCACUUUUGUUCUCACUUUUAAAAAGAAAAAAAAAACACUUAUAAUCCUAAGGUUAACUAAUCUAGACUAAGGGUUUAGAAUUGAGGGGGUGGGGUAGGUUUUAGGAAUAUGAAAUUUAAGAUUCUAAUAAAUAUAUAAAUAAAUAAUUAAUUUGUUUAAAUUUUUUUUGUGUUAACUAAAUAUAGUUAACUCAUAGAAGUUAACAUAAAUAUAUAUAUGUUAACUAAUACCGAGAUUCAUAAACUUCAUUAUUCAUUUAAGAAUUUUCAAUCAUAUGGCCAAGAUUAACCGAGCAACCAUUAUCAUAGCUGAAACUAAUAGAAAUAAUAAAAAUUAGUAUAUUAAAUUUUCUUCAACUAAUUAGAGUUAACUAAUAAAAUAAACAUCCAAAUCUUUUUAUUAGAAUUUAGUUCAGAAGAUGCUGAUUCAAAAAUUACACUUUGAUAUCUCUUGCUAAAAGACUUUCAUGAUAAUAACAAUACUAUCACAUUUCACAGCGCGAUAUAUAUCUUCAAAUAGUUAUACUUGUCCGGCUCACAAUGUUGCUUUUAUUUCAAUUUCAAUUUCACUAUAUAGAAUAGAGUUUUUGUAGAAAAAAAGGAAAAAAAACUGAAAUUGCUUAAUGAAAUUGGAUUAAUAAUUCAUAGAGAAAAAAUGCUACAGUUAUUUAUAGAAAAAUAUCUCUUUAACAAUUAAGUUAGAGUAAUUAUUUGAACAUCGGUUUUUUCAUAUUAUUGAUAUACUAAUUACACAUCUGUAACAAAAAAGGUUAUAUAUAUAUAUAUAUAUAUAUGUAUAUAAAUGCAUGAAUGUUAUCAUCAAAUUAAUAAUUUCUUGUAUCUUUAAGUUGAGCAAAAUCUUUGUAGUUGAAAUCAAUUUUUUUUCACAGAGUAUUUGAGGUAAUGGUUGUUUCACACAUAUGCAGUUGUUGUUCUCUCAAUCACUCUUAUCUGAAAUUUAUGAUCGGAGACUUUAUAGUUCUUACUGUAAUCCUUUCAGUUCCAAAAAAAAGAAUAAUUGUAAUCUUUUUUGGAUUAUGAUUUCUUAAACAUAAAAUUUACUAUUUUAAUAAGAAAGUUUAUUAUUAUUUGGAAAUAUUUGAAAUACUUGUUUUACAUUUUUUGUUUAGAUUUGAAGAAAAAAGAAAACUACAAUUAAACAGUCUUUAACAAUUUUAUUUUGUAGAAGAUUUUAUAAAAGGAUAAUUACUAUCAAACAAAUUUUUACAAUUAUAUUUUAUUUAUGAUUUUAGAAAACGAAAAUUAGUAUUAAGUAAAUUAUUAUACUUUUUUUUGUUUAAGAAUUGUAAAAAGGAAAAAAAAAUUAGAAAAAGGAAAUUAUUGUCAUAUCGAACUCGAUCGGUUUCUAAUCUCGAUUUUGAUCUUAGAUUAUCACUCUAGCUUGAUCUCGAUCUAUUUCAUAGUUAAUGGAUGGUUGUGUUCGUCUUUGUAUGUAGUGAACCCGGAUCGUUUUCCUUCAAUUGGAGGAAGAAGAUCGCACCACCAAGGAGCUGUUGGUGGUUAUUCUCCUCCUCUUCGCCGGAAUGUCACCGUGCUUCCAGAUAAAGGUAUAUCUCCAAUCUUUUGAAAACUAUCUUUUAGAUCUGAAGAAUUUGUACUAGUCUGGUUAAAUUAUCUCUAGAGUAUCCCGGUUGGUGUCAUAUAUAUUCUUAGAUCUGACAUUUAGAUCAUCUCUGAGCUGAGCUAGUUCAAUUUCAUAUUCUCUUCGUAUGCAGUGACGAUCAUGGAUCGUUUCCCAUCUCCAUUAUUUAGUAGUCUGGUUAAAUGAUAUGUUAUAGUAUCUCGAUUGGUUUCAUAUAUACUCUUAUACUCUUAGAUCUGACAUUUAUAUAAUCUCUGAGCGAGCUCAUCUCGAUCAGUAUCAUUUUUAAUGAUUCGAGUUCUCCUCUGUACGUCUUCUUCUUUUUUGAUUCAUUUCUUAUUCGUUUUGAACAAUUGUAUUGAUUAAAAUUGUUGUUUCUUCUCUUUGUAGGAAACCUGAAAGAUGCUUCUUGGGAAACUUGAGAUUCUUCGUAUGGAACACGUUUUACUCUGCUUGCAUAUUUUUUUGCUGAACGUUAUAAGAGCAUGAUUAACCCAUAACUCCAUUUGGGUCUCUUAUUCAUUAUUUUAGUAAUUAAAACUAAUUAAGAAUCUUAGUUAAGAGCUGCCUUGAUUUUGGAUCUCCAAUGGUAAACUCUUAUUUUGGGGUUCUUAAAAAAAAAAAACUUUGUGUAUUAAACACCAUUAAGCACAUUCUUAUCUUACUCGUGAGAUAAUAGCAGUUCCAGAGUAACCAAGUUUUGAGAUGCUACACGACCAGAAACUAUGAUCAUAGCCAUCACUAAGAGCUUUUUUAACUUCCUCAACAUCCUUCACCUAACAUUAGUGUAAUAGAUGUAUUUAGUACACAAGAAUUUAAUCCUUUUAAACAUAAGAAAGGCUAAUGUUAUGUAAUGACCUAGAUCUUUGCCUCGUGAAAGCACAACACAUCAAAGUUUUCUCUUUGCGCAAGUUGCAGAGGAUAGAAGCUCUCUAGCUUCAACAAUGCUCUCAAUCCAUUAACAUUCCAAGUCAUAAUCUUUACAGACUUGGUACCCUCUGGGAGAGGAGGAGGUCUCAUUGUCAUUGGGUUAUAAGCUUUAUAGUCUUCCUCAGGCUUCUUAUGGGCAAGUAUCGUCCAUGGUUCACUUUGAAUUGAGGAUUUGAAUUGAGGAUGAUAUGAUUUAAUCGGUUCUGAGGACUUUGCUAGAUACGGUCAAUGACGCUUCUUCCUCUUUUAACCGAAGCUUCUGCUUACCUAAGAAGAUAAAGCAACACAUAGUGUUUCAUAAUACUCUAUGUAGAUUGCCAGUAUAUAGUACAAAGUGUUUACUUUUUCUGUAACACAUGACAAACCUGUUUUGGCUAAUGACUUUUGUUCACUAGUUUUUGAAGAAACUUUGGCAUUCAAUUUUUUCUGAGUAGACUGUUUUACUCUUUUUUCUCCAUGGUCAUUGCCAUAAGCAUCAGAGCUAAUGCAGUCAUCUUCUGUAGACUCUUCCUUGCUUCUGAUCUUUCUUUUGAUGGUCACACUUUCUGAGCGAGUGGAUGAAGUAGUUUCCUUUAUUUCUUCACCAGAACUUUCAUCUGUAACAGAUAAACAAGGCAGAUCUUACCAAAUAGCAAAGCUAUAGGAAGUCUGAGACUUUUCAAUCUACUUCAAAUGGAACAAGCGGGAACAACUACUUAAAUGCAAACAAGUCCACAUUCUUUUUUUAAUGUGUAGUUACAUACCUUGUAAAUUACUGUCCAUAUGAAGUCGUAAAGCUGAUAUAAGUUCCUUUCUUGUUUGCUUAUCAAGUAGAACGAUUCGCCAACACAUGCGAUUUUCGUAAUCAACAGAGAGAGAGAGAUAGAGAACGAAAACAAACAAAGUCGGUUUUUUUUUUUCCCUUCUCAAAAUCUGAAUACAAUCACAAAACAACAAACUUUGUACCUUUCGAUUCACAGAACAAAAGCUUGAUUCGAUUCUAGAUGCAUGCGAUUUUCGGGAGAAAAGGAGAGAGAGAGAGAGAGCACCGAAAGAACGACGCCAUGGGGAUCAGUUUUUUUUUGCCUUCUGAAAUUCUCUCACGACGACAUGGUGAUCAGUUUUUUUUUGCCUUCUGAAAUUCUCUCUCCAAUAAGAUUAAAACACAUGUCUAACAAGGGACGGUUCUUCUAACUCCUAUUUAGGAGACGUUCUUUGUCUUAAUUGCAAUUUUUCUUUUUCUUUUAAUUGUAAUUCUCCUUAAAGACCCAUCUAAGAGACUGGGUUAAUCCUGCUCUAAUGUUGCUUACGUAUUUUGUGUUGUUAUGCAAUUAUCCCUAAAUACCUACUUUAUACUUCGUGUAAAAUGAUAUUUUAACAGCGGUUGAAAUUUUUAAUUGUUUUUGUUCUGGAGUCUGUAGAACUAGAAAAAAUAAAUCUUAGUAGGUUGUUGACAUAAUUUAUCAUUUUCUCUAACUACGUUUCCUACUUUUGUCUUUACUCAUUGGUUUCUUUUUACUUUCUAAUAAUUCCAAAGUUUCCCUUUUCUUUUCCUGUGAUUUUCAUUCUAUAAUUAUAUAUCUCAAUGAGCAUUUUCAACAAUAAUUGAUUUAAGUUUUGUAUUCGUUUGGUAAUUUAUGACAUUUUAUUAACAUAACCAUUUCUAACUUCAUAUCAAUGUUAAAAUGAAAUCUAUAAUUUGUUUUUGUUGGUUCUAUUUCCAAAUUAUAUGACAGCUUAAAAUCUCAUAAACCUGGGUUGAAAAAAGAGAGAAAAACCUAAAAACUCCUAAAACCAUUUUCCCGACAUUUCUAUGCCCAGUUGAAAAAUCGGAUGAAUCUUUUUAAUAAAGUCAAAUGACAAUAUGGUCGAAUGGUACAGUGAAUGUAGAAAAAUGAUAAAUCUUCUAAGUUUGAUAUCUAUUAUUUUAAAUUUAUUUAUUUGUGUGAUCAAUCAAUAUAAAUAUUUAAUUUUCAUUGUAAUUAAUCAGAUCCGACUGGCACUGACAAGUAUCCUAGUUAUUAAAAAAAAAAAGAAUAAAAUAAAGAUAGUUAAUAGUGUGCUCAGACUAGAACCUAGGAGUAUCUCUCAGAAGUCUGAACCAUAUGCUUUACUCAUUGGUUUCUUUUUUUGUUUCUAGUAGUAAUUCCAAAGUUUCCCUUUUCUUUUCCUGCGAUUUUCAUUCUUUAAUUCUAUAUCUCCAGUCAUGUCUGAUGAAUAAAAGUACUGUCCAAAGAAAGUCCAUAACAUCAUUAAUCAACCCAAAUAAGUUCAAACAAAAUGACCAAAGAUGAUAAAAUGUACAUCAUUAUCGACAAUAUACAUAACCUCGUUUCUACUGAAAUCUAGUAGCCUAUUAACCGAAUUAGAUAUCCUUGUCACAUUCCUUGUUGUAUCUAACCUCACCACGGUACUCCUAGUCUGACUUUGUCUCUACUUUGAUUGUACUCGCACUCCAAAAGCAUUACAUCAAUCAUUUUCCUUCCCUUUUAACCGCAAUUCUCCUCGUACUAGUUGAGACCUCGUAUCGUUGCCUCUAUAAAAAAAAACACCAUCGUAGCCACAGGUUCUUCGCUGUGUUUGGUUUAAUGAGACCAACCCCAUAACAUGUUCAAAUGCGAAUGUGAAGACCAAACCACACCAAAUUCCCAAGUAGAUUAGGUCCCAACCAAUUCCAAAAGCAGACCCGCGUACAAUCCAACAGGGACCAAACACACAAUGAGAGACCAAAUACCUAACUUCAUUGUCUAUUUAUCUUUAUAUUACCUUUGUUGGCUCAGCUUGGAACGCUGGUGAUGGAAAGCAAUUUUGUAGCGCCGAGCCCGAUCCUCAGAGCGUGGCAGAGGCUAGAACAGAGUUGGCAAAAUCCAAACAGUUUUUCGUAUUUCAACGAUGUUCAACCUCUUUCUGUUUCCUUCCAAGUAUCAUACUCUGAGGAGCCAUAGAGACAAACAACCAAUAAUAAUUGAGAACAAAGAGAUAAAAUUGAAAGUGUGAUAGAUAGAGAAAACUGUUUAGAUUAACCUAAUCCCUUUUUUUUAAUAGUAAGUAUUCCAUAAUACCUCCUAUCUCCCUUCUGUGAAAUCCCCAUUCAAUAUCAAAAAUCGAAUCCCAUUGAUAACCAAAUUUCGAAUCCAAUUUCUGAGUCAUCAAAAAAAAAGAUCCACAAUCCAUAUAAUCUCUUUAACAUUAUCACCAGAAUACCUUUUGUGAUUCUGUAAUUUCGUCUUGAUGUUGACUAAAUCUAGAUCUCUUUUCUUUAAAUUCGGAUCCGUUCUGAUACUCCCGGAUUCGAGUUAGCAUAUCUAUCUAUCAAGUUAAUUCUUGUUUGCGGAGCUACAUCAAAUUGAUUUUUUUUAAAGGAAAUAUUUUUUGGGUAGACUUAUUAUUUUAAAAUGUUAAAUUAAAUGAUGAUUUGAUAGGUUUAUUGAUAUUUUAUUUUUUCAAGAAGAUUUUCAAUAUUGUGAAGCUUAACUUUAAAAAUCCAAUGUGAUUUCAAUUAUUCUAGACUUUAUUUUUAAAACAUUUGUAUCCUUUAAACAAUGAUUUGUUAUUUUUAUAUUAAUUUUCUAAAAUAGUAUACGGAGUAUUUCUACUAAAUAGACUAUUUUCAAGUUUUUAUCCUAAAAAUAGAUCAUAAAGAAAGAAAAUGACAAAAAUGUUUUAUUUAAUAGGUAAAAAGAUCUUAAUACCUUAGAUAUAUAAAUACAAAUAAAUAAAUAAAAAAGAAAAAAAAUAUAAAUAUUUUUUUUAUAGUUUCAAAUUAUAUGUUUUCAAAUUCGAAUUUUUUUUUAUCAAUUUUUUUUGUGAUUUGAAAUACUUUUUAAAAUUAUUUUUUAAAUCUUUAUUUUCAAAUUUUUAAUACUUACUUUUUAUUUUAUAAAAUUUUAAAACUUAAUCUCAAAUCUCCACCUCUUAACUAAGGUUUGGAUAAGUUAACUCUAAAUGUAUAAGUGUAUAUUUGUUUUUUUAAUGAAAUAUUUUAGUCAUUUUUAUCCUAGUGUAUAUAUGUGACAAAAAAAAAUUUAACGCUAUUCUAGCGUAUUUCUCUAGUAUAUAUUUCACAUUGAUUCUUUUUAUCUUAAAGUUAUGUUUCUUUUAGUGCGUAAGAAAUCUACAUCAACAUUGCUUCGAUUUUGACUAUUAAUAUAAUUUAUGAUUGGUAAAUUAUAGUUAUACAACUAUACGAUUUUUAUAAUAUAAUUAACUUUAAUAUUUUCAUAGCUAUAGUGCUAUAUAAAUAUGUAAUUGCUAUAUUAUAUGAUUUUAAUCAUACAUAUUUUACUCAGAUGUCGGCUAACAUAUUAUAUUAUCAUUUCUAGAAUGGUUAAUUAUGCUAUAAAAAUAUACUUUUAUAGUAGUUAAUUUAAUUUUAAAACUAUAUUUUAUACAAAAACAAUCAAUAAAAAGUAAAAUAUAUAAAAUCUAUAUAAUAAUAGUAUCUCCCCCAAGGCUAUCCACCUAGGCAGUUUUAAAGUUUGUGGACCCCACGUUUUUUUGGUUUGGUUUGAUCACAAGUUUUCGAGUUUUGUUUGAUUAGGGUUUUAUUGAUCUCCUUCUUCGACCCUUCAACGGUCGCGUCUUCGCUGGUUUUAAUCUGCAAUCAGACGAUUUAUUUUCUCAAUUCUUAACCUCUCUUAUGAUGUUGUUUCCCAAUCAGCCAAUUCAUUCUAGACUGCGCCGGCCGUGCCGCAGCACCUUAACCACCAUAAUCUGAAGGUCCAGGCGGUGGUGGAGCUCCGUAAGGCUUCUCCUUUGUCAGCAUGUAGUCCCCUGAUGUAGCAGGCGCGGAAAGAGAAGAAGGAGGAAGUGCGCCGUGGGGCACCGUACGGCGGAUUGUUUCUGCUGAAGGAGUAAGGUGGCGGUUGAUUUCCACCACCGUAGCCCGCUGGAAACGAAAAGGUAAACACUUUGCAAAAGAGAUCGAAAAAAGAAUGAGUUGACAAUAAAGGUCUGUUUCUUUUAGUUUCUGAUAUGUUUUAGGAAAAAGAAACCAAGAAAGAAGCUUUCAGGAAUUAUUUAGAGUUCGGUGGAGUUAGGGGCUUUUAGGAAGUAUUUGUUAUUGAUUCUCUCACCAAAGGUAUUGUUUCUUUUUCUACAUUACACCAUCACUAAAAGAAACUGCAACCGUUUCUGUAUCAAAUAGUUUGAUCGUUUCCUGACAUAAUAAUUUGAUUUAUACUCUUUUGUAUGUUCUGGAACACAAUGUGGGUUUCCAAUUUACUUCUGGUUGUUUUGUAUGAGCAGAAUGACAAGUCUUCCUUCCUGUACUUUGUUUCUAACCAAUAUGUACCCAGGUGAUGAUAGCUUUUAUAACUUAAUCCUAAUAUGACUUAAGGUCAAAGAGUAUAAUUUUUUUAUGAUCUCUAACCAUAAUAUCCUUCUUUCGUUUUGCUUUCAGAUUCAUUCAGCAAAAUCUAGGAGGUCUUUCAGUUUCUGAUUACGAGAAGCUUCAAGCUGAGAAGUCUAAUCUUCAAAUAAAGUAUAUGAGCUAUUUGCUAAACAUCAAGAAACGUUGAGAGAGGUAUCACGUCCUAACUUGAAUAUAAAAGUUCCAUCAUCAAACCAUCUGUAGCUGAUUAGCAAAUCAUUCCAUGCUUAUGUAGUUACUUAUAGUGGCUCUACAAUACACCAUCCAUAAUCUUAAACAUAUCGAUUCAUCCUUGAUAAACUGAAACUACUUGGGGCCAGUAAUAUCGAGUAGCUAACUCUCUCUGUAGCUAAGAUUCACAAUUGAUGUCGUUGUUGUCCUGGUUUCAACUGCGAAGUCACCUUUGAUAAUUUACAUCUUGGUCGCCCUUCUCAACAAGUUUUUGAUGCUCAUCCAUUUUCAUGAUGCAAGGUAUAUCCAAAAGUAUUCAGACUUCAUGUGAAUUAUUCUUCUGCUUCUUGAUGGGAAGGUAUUCGAUCAACAAACUCUUACAUAUCCAAAUCUCGCUUUGUUUCACUGGCCAACUAAUUUUGGCAACUGUUAUUGUCAAUAGAAUUCUGUAAUCCACACUUUCAUCCCUGCAUUCAAUGAUUUAAAACCAACCAAUAUGGUCACCUGUCUAAAAAAAAGACCACCCAUUCGUCAUAGGACGUUUCAUGCUUUCCACAACGAUCACACUAUUUGACAAGUCUUACGGUGAGGGGUUCUGGGGAGGACUCACACUCCACUUGAACAUGAGAUGUUUUCAAAUUCCAGCAUGCUCUUGUAUCUCCAGUGUCCAGCCAGUGCUGUCAACCCCGGUUCAUCGUUGUCAUUUCUGGAGGUAAAGAUAAAAACUAGGAAACAUGAUUCCCCCUUUCCAUUAAGAGAUUUUUUCUACAGAAAAGGGGCAAGCAGCUAAAUUAUAUCUAUAGAAGUAAUUUUUUUCAAUCUCAUGAUCUCUCAUAUUUAUAAUUGAUGCUUCUAUAUUCUAAAUAACGUCUUUACACCACGCUGCAGAAGUUCUGCCAAGAUAUUUCAGCUCAGGAUGGGUAUUUGCUCAGUUUCAUGAACCAGAAGUCGCCCAGUUCUUUGCAACAUUUGGCGCUAACCUCACAAUUGCAUGGAUGGAAGGUAUAUUCUUUCAUAACAUUAAGUUAUGAAUAUUAAUAGCUCAUGCAGAAACUUGAUCGUACACUGAUUCUUUUCGAAAUCUGUAAUAGCUCAGGAAGGUAUAUUCUUUUCGAAAUCUGUAAGCUAUGAAUAUUUGGCUCAAACAUGGUCGUACACUGAUUCUUUUCAUCCCAUGUUUUCCUUUUCACCUUCUUAGACAAUAGGAGCUCGGUAAAGCUUCCAUGAAGCGGAGAGAGCUUGAAUGGUCUGAAGUAAAAAGCAGUCUUGCUCAGUAAUUAACGGCUUCACAGAUCCCAUGUUCUUUGGAUGUGAGUGACAAUGGACGAUUGGAGAAAAAGACAAGCAUCUGGGCGGAGCAGCGAGGGCAAUUAGCGUCACCUCUGCUGUACUAUAAUUAUCACCUCCGCAGACGCCCUGGAGUCAUAAAUACGACGAGAGAAGGAGGAGAACACGAAAGGGGUUACGGUGUUGGAAGGUCAAGCUAAAUUUAGUUGUUACCUAUCACUAUCAGUGUCCACCACCGAUGCAAUGGCCAAUCGAAUCUCAAGUUCAUUUUAAGGAAAUGGUCUCAGUCAUAAGACUGUUAUGAACAAUCGAUUUCAAAAUAUCAACAUAAACUUAGGAUAAUAAAUUUCUCUCGAAUGCAUUAUUUUUUAAUCAAAAUUUGAUCCUUUUCAAAUAAGAUGAGUCAAACCAUAUAUGCAACUCAUACUAUUAAGCUCACAAACAGAAAAGAAGGAAAAUAAACACAAACUACCUUCCUCAUAUAUUUUAGUUUUAUAUAAUGAAAACCUAUUUUAUAGUUACUUAAAUUCCAUAUAGUAAAAAAAGGCGAAUAUUCAUAUAUGCUAAUAAAUGAAGUACGAAAAUAAUAAAAAUAUUCAGUGAAAAUUAGCCAAACAAAAAAAUAUUCUAAAUUUAAUGGGUUAUUUCUGUCAUACCUUGCUCUUGGUGGUCCUUCCUGGCUGCAUGAUCUUAUCCGUCAAGAGAGUACAUUUUAAGCUCUUCAGUCUUUCCCUUAAGAUUGAGUUUUAGUAUGUAGUCUCUUGCUUUGUUUUUGUUCCUUUGCCCUACUGAUGUAAUCAGUUGUUUCAGACGUUUUUAAAAAAAAUAAAUUAAAAUACAAUGUAGAAUAAAAAUGCAUAUACACAUAAAAUUGAUAUGUUCAACAAAAGUUAUAUAAAUUGACAACUCUAAAUGUAGUUUUUUUUACAAUAUCAUUAAGAGCAUCUCCAACUCAACUGCGUAAUUUACUGCAAAUUAGAAAAGUUAUAUGAAUUGACAACUAAAAGGGUAGUUUUUUUUUUGACAAUACCAUUAACAUCAUACAAAGUUUCAUAAGGAUGAACAAACUAAUCUCCAUACAUGAAAGCAUCAUUCAACUUAGUAUUUAACACUAAAUAAAAGUCUUAACAACAAACAACAAUAAAAAAAAAACAGUUAAUGUCCAAUUGUUAUACUAUGACAAACUAUAAACAAAUUAUAUAGUCCAGGAAUGAUUUAAGAAAUUUUGGUAUUCAAACAAAAUAAAUAAAUUUCAAAAUUGAUAGGAAUCAAUAAAAAAAUGUAAUUGUGUUUGGCAUAUUAUGUUUGUGGUUAAUGUUGCAGUUGGAGUAAAGAGCUUGCAUUCAAUUCGAAAGAUGAUGCAACAAGACGACCACACAAUACUUGUGGAUCUUUCUCCGGUAAAAGAAAAAUAUAAAAGUCAAUAACCCCGCGCUUUCGCGGAGACUCCUUCCCUGUAUAAAAAACAGAUCACUAUCUAUUUAAGAAAUCUAAACAAUAAAAUUAUUAAGUUACACAACAUACAACACUAAAAUUUAAAUCAUAUAUUUAAAACGUAAGAUAAUAUCAAAAUUUACAAAAAAAUAUUCGCACGGACGUGCGGCUUCAAACUCUAGUUGCUAUUAAAUUUAAUAUGUAGCAUUUAAAUUCAGUAGACAAUUUAAUUAUAUGCUUUUACCAUGUUUGAUACGACAUGGAAUAAGAGAAGUAAUUACUAAUAGUGAACGAACAUUUGAAAAUAAAGUUAAGGUGUCGGCGAUACGACAUGGAAUAAGAGAAGUAAUUGCUAAUAGUGAACGAACAUUUGAAAAUAAAGUUAAGGUGUCGGAAGCUCACAGUUAUAACAUAAGACAUUGGUCCAAACAGCAUCAGUAGUUUUUUUUAUCUACACACAUUGAGAAACCAACAAAGAAUUUGGUAUGGACUAAUCACAAGUUUUCUGGGGUUUUAGGAAUUAUCAAUGAAAGAUUUGACAACUUUUUAUUGAUUUUAGUUAUGAGAAAGAGGGAAGUGCCUUAUAUAAGAAAAAUUGUGGCCCCAAUGAUAUCUACUUUUGAAAGAUUAUGGAAAUUUACUUUUACUAUGUCGUUUUUUGCUAUUUUAAUUUUAGGGAUUAAGAAAAAAUAAAUAUCAAAAUAACAGUGUUUUUUUUGUUAAUAUUACUAUUUUUCUUUUGAUUUUCUAUUUUACUAUAAUAGUUAGCAUUUUUAAGUAAGUUGUAAAAUGUUACUAUUUAUUUUGUUAGUUUAAAUAGAUUUUUUGGUUUUAUUUUAUAGUAAUGUUUUAUUUUGUGUUUGUUAUUUUAACUAUUUCAAUAUUAAUUUACCAUUUUAUUUUGGUAUAAAAUGUAUUUUGAAUUUUAUUAUACUUAAGAAGAUAUAUUCUUUUGUUAAUAUUACUAUUUUUUUUUUUAAUAUAAUAGUUUUUUUUUUUUUUUUUGGUUUAACCUGGGCGUAUCCCAGGCCGAGGUCCAGACUAAUCCCCAAUGGGAGGUGCGGCCCACGGAUGGACCAUCUCUCCGGGUUUUCAAAUGGGACCUAAAGCAUAGGCCCAUAUCCGCGUGGCCCGGCGUAGGGGUAAAUCUGAGGGGGAGGUUCGAACUCGCGGCCCUUAGGACCAUUGCGAGCCGCCUCACACCACUCGACCACCAACGUCGGGUUAAAUAAUAUAAUAGUUAGUAUUUUUUAAGUAAAUUGUCAAUGUUAAUAUUUAUUUUGUUAGUUUAAGUUAUAUAUAUGUAGUAUUAAUUUCGUUCUUUUAUAUAUUUUGGAAAGAUUAACAUUCUAAAAAAUAAUAAAAGAUUUGUCAUAGUUUGAUUAGAGGUUUUAAAUUUUAUGCGGACACCUUUAAUAGGUUAUACCCUCAAUUUUCCAUAAACCGAGAAAUCGGCGUUGCGGAAUUUAUCACACAUGGUUAAUUGGGAUUUUUAAAACCUUAAACCGGAUUCUGCUUUGUGGUUAUAAAGUUUAACGUGAGCCCAUCAACCCAAUAAGCACAGCUAAAAUUUAUGUUUAAUUAUAGCAUUAACCCUAGCGGUAAAAAAAAAUAGAAAAAUUCCAAUUCUACCAAGAUCUUCAAACCCUAGCUGGCGAACCUUGUCUCUGUUUUUGUCUUUCCUACUUAUAUAUCUGAAAAAUAGCCCCUGUGAAUUAGACAUAGCUAUGGUUAAUUAUCUGUUGAGAAGAAGAUAUCUCUGUCUCUGUUUUUGUCUUUCCUACUUAUAUAUCUGAAAAAUAGCCCCUGUGAAUUAGACAUAGCUAUGGUUAAUUAUCUGUUGAGAAGAAGAUACGUGGCUCCAGAGAUUUCUUUUGAUCUCAUGAUCGAAAUCCUGAGUAGAUUGCCUGCUAAAUCGCUUAUGAGGUUCAAGUGUGUCUCAAAGCUAUGGUGUUGUCUGAUCCGCUCUUGAUAUUUUAGCAACCUUUAUCUCAUGGUCUCAUCAUCGCAACCGCGACCACUUGGUCUAUACAUGAGUUUGUAUAUGAGUUUGGAUUUGGUGAGACACUACAUGUGUGAUUCAAUGGAGAUGUAUGAACUGCUAUAUCAUUAAGGUUAAUGUCGUCUAGUAGUAGUGCUGAAUCAUCAUUAGAACCAGAUUUGACUUUCCCAGGGAUGGGAGGAUACAGGAUGGUGUCUCUUCGCGGUUUGAUUGUAUUCACUAUUUGCAGAAAAGCAUGUAUCUAUAAUCCCGCCACUAGACAGAGUUUAACCUUACCCACCUUCAAAUCUAACCUCUUUGCGCAACAAGAACCUUAUAAGCAUGUCCACUACUUUUUCGGACACGAUCCUGUUCUUGAUCAAUACAAAAUAGUCUGUAGUGUUAUGAUAGCCUCGUCAUUCUCUGAGAUGCUAUUCUCCGAGUUUUGGGUCUUCGUGUUGGAACCCGGAGGUUUUUGGAAAAGAACCGAGUAUGAUGCUCAAGCUCACCUUCCUACAAGACAAGGACUCUGCAUCAAUGGAGUUAUAUAUUAUCUGGCUUUCAAUCAUACACGUCGCUAUCACGUUUAUUGUUUUGACGUUAGGUCUGAAGAUAUCCGUGUGAUCCAAGCACCCCAUGCAGUGCCUCAGUUUUGUACUUCCUUUGGUUUCAUAGAGCAUGGUGGAAAACCAGCAAUCUUUGACUAUUCACGUAUUACAGAAACGGGUGUCUCGGAGUUGUGGGUGUUGGAGGUGGAUGGUGGAAUAUGGUCGAGAAAAUCUCUGGUUUUGAAGCUUUGUCAGAAGCAUUUAGUGGAUGACAUUGACCAUAAUAAGAAGUUGAUUGUUCAUGGUACGGGUGAGAACAAUGAGGUUAUCUUGGCGUUGACUUGUCCUUGUUACCUUCUCUAUUACGAUCUGAUGAAGAAUGAUGUGAGGAAGGUUAAUAUCAAUAGAGUGACAACGCCGCAUGUGUGUAUCAAGGUUCUGGAUAAGUGUGAAAGCAUCAUGCACUUGGAAAUUUGAAUAAAGUUUCUUCUAUAUCAUUAUCUAAUUGUGUUUGUCUAUGAUAAUACAGUUGAACUAUUUUUUUAAUAAUAUUUUUUAUUUUAUUUGUUUUGCAAACAAACAAAACAAUAGUUGAAUCUCUGCUUUUUUUAUUGUUUAAUAUCAUAAAAAAAGAUUGGAAUAUGGGUGGAUUUUUGAAGCUUUGAUGCUGAUGAUCCAUUAGCUGUAUAUAAUGCGGUUUUUUUAGGUAUCAAAUCCUGGUUUGAGUACAUGUGAGGCUCCUACUGUUGUCAGGAGACUGCUAGCUCUCAACACACACAUGAGCUUACAAGUUACAUCCAUGAAUUCAUAUUUUUAUUUGUCUCAUGUGAAUUCCCUAAAACAAACAUUUCAUUUGUUGUUAUUGAUCCGCAGAUCCCUGCCUCGUUUCGAGUCAGAAGAGAAUCAGCAGUUGUAACCAACCAAAGCCAAAGAAAACUUCAGUAGCCACGAGCUUGAGUCUUACACCAUGAGCUAUGGCUUAUGCUGCACCUGUGAAGGUUGAGCCAGCCAAGACAUCUGCAGCUUCAAAGCCACAGAGUAUUGUUGAUUCUUACACAGCCUCCUUAGAGGAUAUGACAGCUCAAGGAGCACUUGACGGGUAAUCUUUGGGACUUAUGGCCUUAAAAACAAAGUUAUUUUUGUGUGUAAUGCUAUAUGCCUAUAUCAAACUAAAUGGGAGAUUUUGAUUAUGACUUUAGUGGAAGAAUUCAAGUAGGACUAUGAAUAUUAAGUAAUAAAGUUAUUUUUAGUCAAAUUUGUGGAUUGUUCAAGAAUGAUUUCUGAUUUCGAUCCCAAAUAUUUUUCUGGUUAUCGCCUAAUAAUUUUUUUCCUUGAGAAAUUUGGUAACUUGUUUUAGCUGUAUAUUAUGACAUAUGUAAUAUUCAUAUUGAUUACUACAUUUCAUUUAUUGUCUUGCCAAAAUAGUAUGAAAGAUAAGUUGUACAGAUAAAUUCAUAUGCGAAAUAAAUUUACGAAUUUUAAAAUAUUUACAUGAACGGUUGAAUAUUCUAUAAAUCUCUAAUAUAAUUUUCGUACACUAAUUAUCAGGAGAAUGUGAUAUUUUGUGUUAUUUUGCAUUUUAAUAUGAAACAUAUUUUAUUUAGUUUUAUGAAAAAUAAUCAAUAAACCGCAUCUUAACUUAUCUAAAACAUAUGCAAUUGUAGUAAACAAUUUUAUGAAUGAUUAUAUAUUUAUAUGACAGCGUAUGAGUAAAAAUGAUAAUAAUAGAUGUAUAUGCACGUAAAAUAUAUAUUCAUUGACAUUUAUUCAGAAACCAUGAUGCAAACCAUAAAUAAAACACUCACAACUAUCAUAUUAAUAUAUCUAAUACAAAACAGUACUCACCUAUUUUUAAGUGAUUUUUUACAUUUUUUAACUAAUUUAAACCACUUUAUUUAUUGUUUUUCCUAAAUAAUUCGAUUAUAUUUAUUACAAAAUACAAAAUAGAACUUAUCUAUUUUAAGUAUUUUUAUAACAUCUUUUACAUUUAUUUUUUCAUUUUUUCUAAUUACUUUAUUAAUUAUAUUUACCAUAAUAAUUAGACAAUAUUAUUUUACGUAUUAACCAAAAUAAUUUCGUAGGUUUGAAUGAAAUUGAUUCAUUCAUAACAAGAAUUUAACUGGUUAAUAAUUUUUUUUAUUUGUUUAUAAAAUCAGUUAUACGUGGGCAUCCAUCCAAGUAUCCGUUCCGGAUCAUUUUUUGAAUAUCGGAUUUUUGGGUUUAAAAUUAAACUUUGUUCGAAUAUUAUAAAUUUUCGGAUGGGGUUUGGACUCGGAUCCUUCCGAGUCCGAAUAGGUUUGUAAAAACUUAAAAAUAUCCAAAUAGCUUAUGUGUUUAGAAAUUUCAUUAAAUAAUUUAGAAAAAUAUAACAUUAGCUAUAGUAUUAGUUAAACAAAAAUAGGUCUAAACAUUGGAAAGGAGAAGUUAUGUAGAAACACCUUUACAUUGGAAAAAAAUGUUUUUGCAACCAAAAUCAAAUAUUAGAUACUGCUAUUAACAAAUCGACAAAUUUAAGAUAUACUCUCUAACUAAAAAAAGAAGCACUAACAGAUUCCAAAUCUCCGAAAAAUACACCUGUAUUACCUCAUGAUUUUUCCUAAUAUAGAAAUUUAUUUUAAGCUAAAACCUUUCACUAAUAACAACCUAUAAACAUCUUUUAAUUAUUAAGACAACAACGACCACCCAAAGACACAUAGAAAAGAAAUUCACCGACUGUAAAGAAAAACAACACACAACAAUCAAUCAAAGAAAGCAGACACAUCUUCGAGAUCAAACAAAACCAAUCUCAUUCAUCGUCGCCUUCUCAACAUGGCCGGAAGGGCAGCAAUGCUCGUUAACCUCGGGACGGUUGUAAUGACCGUUUUGACCCUGGCUAGUUUUGUCGAAGGCUUCGGUGUGAAUUGGGGUAAUAUCGCAUCACAUCCGCUGAAUCCUGAUAUUGUUGUUAGGAUGCUUAAGGAGAACAAGAUCAAUAAAGUGAAGCUUUUUGACGCUGAUUCAUGGACGAUGAAUGCUUUGGCCGGUUCGGGCAUGGAGGUUAUGGUCGGAAUCCCUAAUAACCUUCUUGAAACUCUAGCUGAUGAUUACGGUAAUGCUAAAGAUUGGGUCAAAGAAAAUAUCACUGCUUACAUGCGCAAGGAUGGCGUCAACAUCAAGUAACUUUACUAACAUAUUUUAAAAUUCAUUAGACGUUAAUCCGAUGUUGGGAUCAGUCUUGUUUCAGUUAGAUAUAUGUCUAGACAACAACUUAAACCAAUUAAUUAAUCCUUUUUUAUCUGAUUGAUUUAAAUACCGGAUUUGAGAUCAUCCGUUUUUAGGUGAUAGAUGGCUUCUGCGACGUUUAUAUCCUAACUUUUAUUUUGUUUAAAACAAGUAGAUAAAUUGUUGUAAACAAAAGCCAUGAAGAAAACAAAAACACUCGAAUAGAAAAUAAAUAAAUACUUGUACCAGAGUUUGUAUAUUAAUUAUGUGGAUAUAAUAUUUAUAAUUUCUUGGAUAAAUAUUCAUAUAGCCUCAAAAUCAGAUAUAUAUUUUUAUGAGUUUUUUUUUAUAUACUAAUGAUUAUUUUUUCUAAUCUUAAAAGACAUAAAUAUGUUUCGGACUAAUUCAUUCACAUGAUUGCCAUGCUAUAUAGGUACGUGGCUGUGGGAAACGAGCCGUUCUUGUCAGCAUACAAUGGAUCGUACUUAAAAACAACGUUUCCAGCUUUAAAGAACAUUCACAGAGCGUUAAAAGAGGCCGGACAUACCGAUGUAAUGAAAGCCACGAUCCCACAAAACGCUGAAGUUUACCAAUCAGCUAACGACAAGCCAUCAGAAGGCGAUUUCCGCAGCGAUGUUAAGCAAAUAAUGCUCGACAUCGUCAAGUUCUUCCAUGAUAAUGAUUUGCCUUUCACCGUCAACAUUUACCCUUUCCUUAGUCUUUAUCUGAACCAACAUUUUCCCGUCGAAUAUGCGUUUUUCGAUGGUAAUGGUCAGACCAUUCCUGAUAACGGAAAGAAUUACGAUAACGUGUUUGAUGCGAAUUACGACACGCUGGUUUACGCGUUGAAUAAAGCUGGGAUUAAAGAUAUGAAGAUUAUCGUUGGAGAGGUAACUUGAUAAGCAAGUUAUUGAUUAUUAGAUAGGUGUAUUAAGAAUAUUGAGAGCGUUUAUUGAAUUUGCUUAUUUAUUUUUCUUUUAUGUAUAGGUUGGAUGGCCAACGGAUGGUCAUAAAUAUGCGACGCCGAAGCUAGCAGAGAAGUUCUAUGCAGGACUUAUGAAAAGACUUGCUAAGGACGUUGGGACUCCACUGAGACCUGAGAAAUUAGAAGUUUAUCUCUUUGGUUUACUCGACGAAGACAUGAAGAGUAUUCUUCCUGGACCAUUCGAAAGACAUUGGGGAAUCUUCAGGUAAUAGCUAUUCAAACGUAUAUAAAUCGAGUUUCUUAAGUUUUUCUUAACUGAUUUUGUUACGCUCUAAUAGUCUAAUAGCAUGCAUGCGUUACAAAUCAUUACGGCAAUCAUUUAUCAAAAGAUUCAAAACCAAUUCUAGCAUCUAGAGUAUUUUUGCAGAAACUUUUUAGUGUUUGAUGUGUUUCCUUGUUCUGUUAUUUCACUAUUUCGAUGUUCUAUUAUUCCACUCAUCACAUUAUCAUCAUUACCAUUCUUUAUACGUUAAAGCUACUAUUUUAUAACCACUUAUGUUAUACUAUGCUUAAACUAUACAACAAAAAAAAUUAUACUAUGCUUGUAUUAAGAUAUAAUGAGGAAAAACAAAACAUUUUUUUUUUUGAAAAACAAAACAUCAUAUAUUGAGUUCUCGUUAUAUUCAAUAUAUUUUCAACAGAUAUGAUGGAACACCGAAGUUUAUGCUAGAUUUCACGGGACAAGGACGCAAUUGAGUUCUCGUUAUAUUCAAUAUAUUUUCAACAGAUACGAUGGAACACCGAAGUUUAUGUUAGAUUUCACGGGACAAGGACGCAAGAUCGUACCCGUGGCAGAAAAAGGUGUGCAAUACUUAGAUAAGCAAUGGUGCGUUGUGAACAAAGACACGAUCAAUCUAGAUGAAGUUGGUCCGGACCUAGACUAUGCGUGUUACCAUGGUGACUGCACCGCGAUGCUUUACGGGUCCACAUGUAGUAACCUCGACAAAAUCCAAAACAUAUCAUACGCAUUUAACAUGUUUUUCCAGAUUCAGGGCC